rnacentral:rRNA from 1 species
AGAGUUUGAUCAUGGCUCAGGACGAACGCUGGCGGCGUGCUUAACACAUGCAAGUCAAGGGGGCCCAGCAAUGGGCAACCGGCGAACGGGUGCGUAACACGUGAGCAACCUACCGAACUGUGGGGGAUAGCCGGCCUAACGGCCGAGUAAUACCGCAUACGCUUUCAGUGAGGCAUUUCAUUGAAAGGAAACCUACGGGACAGAUCGAGGGGCUCGCGGCCUAUCAGCUAGUUGGCGAGGUAACGGCUCACCAAGGCGACGACGGGUAGCUGGUCUGAGAGGAUGGCCAGCCACAUUGGGACUGAGAUACGGCCCAGACUCCUACGGGAGGCAGCAGUGGGGAAUCUUGCGCAAUGGCCUAACGGCUGACGCAGCGACGCCGCGUGUGGGAUGAAGCUCCUCGGAGUGUAAACCACUGUUGCCCGGGACGAAUAGCUCGAUUAAUCGAGCCUGACGGUACCGGGUGAGGAAGCACCGGCUAACUCCGUGCCAGCAGCCGCGGUAAUACGGGGGGUGCGAGCGUUGUCCGGAAUCACUGGGCGUAAAGGGCGCGUAGGUGGUUUGAUAAGGGUGUGGUGAAAGUCCGGGGCUCAACCCCGGAUCUGCCGUGCCGACUGUCAAACUCGAGGGCUGUAGAGGCAGACGGAAUUCCGGGUGUAGCGGUGGAAUGCGUAGAGAUCCGGAGGAAGACCGGUGGCGAAGGCGGUCUGCUGGGCAGUUUCUGACACUGAUGCGCGACAGCGUGGGGAGCAAACAGGAUUAGAUACCCUAGUAGUCC